AUCAACCUCUAAAUAUCUUUGAAGGAGACAACAACUUUUAAAUGAAUAAAGAGGAAGUCAAGUUGCCCUAUAGAAAACUUGUCCAAAUAACAUUUCAACAGCUAAAUUGAUAAAGACUGGUGAUAAUAAAAGUUGAAUUAUGUAUAUCACUGUUAAA
rnacentral:sRNA from 1 species